rnacentral:rRNA from 1 species
CCAGGUUGAUUCUGCCUGACGUAGACGCUAUUCCCUAAGAUUAACCCAUGCAUGUUUUUGACAUUUGAAAAAUGGACUGCUCAGUAAUACUCACUUUAUUUUAUGUAUAUUUGAAAUUAAAUACGUUAAAGUGUAGAUAAGGUGUGUACAGUAAGAGUGAGACCUAUCAGCUAGUUGUUAAGGUAAUGGCUUAACAAGGCAGUGACGGGUAACGGUAUUACUUUGUAAUAUUCCGGAGAAGGAGCCUGAGAGACGGCUACUAAGUCUAAGGAUUGCAGCAGGGGCGAAACUUGACCUAUGGAUUUUAUCUGAGGCAGUUAUGGGAAGUAAUAUUAUAUUGUUUCAUAUUGUAAAAGUAUAUGAGGUGAUUAAUUGGAGGGCAAAUCAAGUGCCAGCAGCCGCGGUAAUACUUGUUCCAAGAGUGUGUAUGAUGAUUGAUGCAGUUAAAAAGUCCGUAGUUUAUUUUUAAGAAGCAAUAUGAGGUGUACUGUAUAGUUGGGAGAAAGAUGAAAUGUGACGACCCUGACUGGACGAACA